AUUGAACGCUGGCGGCAGGCCUAACACAUGCAAGUCGAGCGGAUGAAGGGAGCUUGCUCCUGGAUUCAGCGGCGGACGGGUGAGUAAUGCCUAGGAAUCUGCCUGGUGGUGGGGGAUAACGUCCGGAAACGGGCGCUAAUACCGCAUACGUCCUGAGGGAGAAAGUGGGGGAUCUUCGGACCUCACGCUAUCAGAUGAGCCUAGGUCGGAUUAGCUAGUUGGUGGGGUAAAGGCCUACCAAGGCGACGAUCCGUAACUGGUCUGAGAGGAUGAACAGUCACACUGGAACUGAGACACGGUCCAGACUCCUACGGGAGGCAGCAGUGGGGAAUAUUGGACAAUGGGCGAAAGCCUGAUCCAGCCAUGCCGCGUGUGUGAAGAAGGUCUUCGGAUUGUAAAGCACUUUAAGUUGGGAGGAAGGGCAGUAAGUUAAUACCUUGCUGUUUUGACGUUACCAACAGAAUAAGCACCGGCUAACUUCGUG
rnacentral:rRNA from 1 species